UACAGAGGGGGCAAGCGUUAUUCGGAAUUAUUGGGCGUAAAGGGCGCGUAGGCGGCUUGGCAAGUGGAUGGUGAAAUCCCUCGGCUUAACCGAGGAACUGCCAUCCAGACUGCUUUGCUUGAGGCCGGGAGAGGUGAGUGGAAUUCCCAGUGUAGCGGUGAAAUGCGUAGAUAUUGGGAGGAACACCAGUGGCGAAGGCGGCUCACUGGACCGGUUCUGACGCUGAGGCGCGAAAAGCGUGGGGAGCAAACGGG
rnacentral:rRNA from 1 species